ACAGCAUUCGGACCGUCGGUCUACCGAGCAAUAUCACAAGCUCAGUGGAUGAUCUUCCUUUCGUAAA
rnacentral:pre_miRNA from 1 species